rnacentral:tRNA from 1 species
GGUAUUAUAUUUUAUAAGAAAAUUUAAUUUGCAAUUAAAUAGUAAUAGAUUAAAAUCUAUUUAAUACCA